rnacentral:rRNA from 1 species
GAUGAACGCUGGCGGCGUGCCUAAUACAUGCAAGUCGAGCGAACAGACGAGGAGCUUGCUCCUCUGACGUUAGCGGCGGACGGGUGAGUAACACGUGGAUAACCUACCUAUAAGACUGGGAUAACUUCGGGAAACCGGAGCUAAUACCGGAUAAUAUAUUGAACCGCAUGGUUCAAUAGUGAAAGACGGUUUUGCUGUCACUUAUAGAUGGAUCCGCGCCGCAUUAGCUAGUUGGUAAGGUAACGGCUUACCAAGGCAACGAUGCGUAGCCGACCUGAGAGGGGGAUCGGCCACACGGGAACGGAGACGCGGUCCAGACUCCUAAGGGAGGCAGCAGUAGGGAAUCUUCCGCAAUGGGCGAAAGCUUGACGGAGCAACGCCGCGUGAGUGAUGGAGGUCUUCGGAUCGUAAAACUCUGUUAUUAGGGAAGAACAAAUGUGUAAGUAACUAUGCACGUCUUGACGGUACCUAAUCAGAAAGCCACGGCUAACUACGUG